CUUAGUGGAUGGCUUGGCUUGAUAACCGAUGAAGGACGUGGCAAGCUGCGAUAAGCCUCGGCGAGGUGCAUGCAGCCCUAGAACCGAGGAUGUCCGAAUAACUCCUUUUUAGGAGAGGGAACGCGGGGAAUUGAAACAUCUUAGUACCCGCAGGAAAAGAAAUCAAUAGAGAUUCUCUUAGUAAGGGCGACUGAAAAGAGAAGAGGGCAAACCGAAUUCCUUAUCGCAAGAUAGGGAAGAUGUGGGGUUUGGAUCUCUCUACUUCCAAAGGGAAUGAGUUGAAAUUCUCUGGAAAGAGAUGCCAAAGACGGUGAUAGCCCGGUAAACGAAUUCCCAGAGGAAGAUUGAGAGAAUUCCAGAGUAUUGUUGGUUGGAUAUCCAGCAAGAAGGCGGGAGACAUUAACUUCCAACUCUAAAUAUAAUUCAAGACCGAUAGCGAACUAGUACCGUGAGGGAAAGCUGAAAAGAAGGGGUAACACCCUAUGAAAAGAACCUGAAACUAAGUAGUACGGUAUCCGUUUUGAAAAACGGGGUAAGGAGUUUAUGUCUAUGGCGAGAUUAACCUUUUGAAAAGGGUAAUCGGAGCGAAAGCGAGUAUGAAAGUGCGAUUAGUCAUAGGCAUAAGACCCGAAGCCAGACGAUCUAUUCCAAGACAAGGUGAAGUGCAGCGAAAGCUGCAUGGAGGCCUGAACCGAUGCUAGCGUGCUAUCUGCUCGGAUGAUCUUGGAAUAGGGGUGAAAAAUAGUAUAUAUCUUCAGAUAGUUUAAAGAAAAUAUAAGAAGAGAUAUACUAUUCAGGGCCAAUCGUGUCUGGCAAUAGCUGGUUCCUUCCGAAUGAACCCUUUCUUUUAAAGAAUUAAAAGAAAUUUUAUAGAAAAAGAGAAAGGGGUCCGGAAAAUGAACCACAGUUCAGCCUGUUCCUUAUAGAUUAAUGUGUAAAGAUACUGAUUAGAUAGUAGGGGAGGAAACUCUUCGCUAUCUAGUCAAACUCAUAAGCGUUAAUCAUAACUGGAACAGAGUGAGGGUUGCCGGGGAAAGCUCGGUGCCCUAGAGGGGAACAACCCUUACUGGCAUUAAGGUCCCUAAAUGAUAACUAAGUGAUGAAAGACUAUAUUUUCUAAAACAGUGGGGAGGUAGGCUCAGAAGCAGCCAUCCUUUAAACCUUUUAUGGAUGAUUGAUUAAAAAGAAUUAAACAAAAAUAAGAAAUCCAUAAAAGGAAAGGCAGAGUGCGUAACAGCUCACCCACCUAGAAAAUAUGGUCUGAAAAUGGACGGGGCUAAGUUAUCUGCCGAUAUGCCAGAUUCCUUUUGGAAUGGUAGGAAGGCGUCUUGACGGGGCAGAAGUUUUUCUUUAAGGAAAAAUGGACCUGUCAAGAAUGAGAAUCUUACUGAAAGUAGCAGCAAAGUGGUGUGAGAAUCACCAUCGCCUUACGUGGGUAAGGGUUCCCUACCAAUGUCGAUCAGGUAGGGGUUAGUCUAUAUCCUAAGUACAUCCUUAAAAUAGAUGUACGAAGGAAAACUGGUUAAUAUUCCAGUACCACUAAGUUCUUAUCUAUCUAACUGGUUUGAGAUAGGUUAAUGCAAACCAAGCACAGAAGCUUCUGGAGUCUCGUAAUGAGGAGAAGGAAGUUAAUGUGUGAUGGGCCUUCGUAUGAAGGUUUAACCGAGUCUCAGACCCUAUGAAAAGUAGAUAGAAUGUCUUAGUGAUAGUACCCAGAACUGACACUGGUACCCACGCUGAGUAGGCGAAGGUGUGAUAGGAUAAUCCAAUCUAGGGAAUUCGGCAAAUUAGUGGCGUACCUUUGGUAUAAGCCAUGCCUAUUAUCUAUUUUGAAUAAUAGGUCUCAGUGACAAGGAAAACCCGACUGUUUAAUUAAAACUUAGCUGACUGCUAGCCCGAAAGGGUUUGUAUAGUCAGUGAAGCCUGCCCAGUGCCGGUAUCUCAAAUCUGGUUUCAACCAGACGAAGGACCGGUAAACGGCGGCGGUAACCCUGACCGUCUUAGGGAGCGGUCAUAUGAUUCAGAAAUGAUUUUAUGGCCGUCUCUGGGCUUAGGUAGCGUAAUCCCUUGCCGAUUAAACGUCGGCCUGCAUGAAGGUCCAACGAGGUUUUCAGUGUCCCAGAUUGGAACCUAGCGAACUCUCUUUCUGGUGAAUAGGCCAGAGACUUCCAGUGGGAAGAGUAGUCCCUGUGGAGCUUUACUACAGCCUGCUGUUGUAAUAGGCUUUGAACUGUACAGAGUAGAUAGGAGCUUCGGCGAAAGUGUAACACUAUCCUUUUCAAAGCUUAUUGCUUACCUCUUCGGAGGGACACCAGUUGGUGGGUAGUUUGGGUGGGGCGCCACGCCUCUAACAAGACAUCAGAGGCGCCCAAAGAUCAGCUCACCAAGGUCAGAAAUCUUGGGUAGAAUGUAAAUGUAAAAGCUGGUCUGAUUGGAUUCCCCAUAGUAAAGAAUCCAAGCACGAAAGUGUGGAUUAACGAUAUGCAGUUUUGCUUUAAUGGCUGACUGUAACUUCAGAAAAGCUACCCCAGGGAUAAUGGAGCCGUGGCCCCCGAGAGUACAUACGAGGCUUUUCUUUAGAAAAGAAAAACCCUCGAGUCAAAAGAAACUAAGAUAUGUACAAAUCGACGGGGCGCGUUGCUACUCCGUUGUUGGCUUGUCUCCUCCUGGGUGUGCAUAAGCACCCAAGGGUGCAGGGGUUUACUGCUUAAAGAGGCACGUUAGCUGAGUUAAGAACGGCGUGAGCCAGUUCAGUCUAUAUCUGCUGGAAGUGUUUUAAUCUGACUGGAAGGGAGCCACAGUACGAAAGGAACGGGCUCUCGUGGCCUCUGGUGUACCGGUUGUGAUUGCACCGCCGGGUAGCUACGCCAUCGCGGAUAAGAGCUGAAAGCAUCUAAGCUCGAAGCCGCUCAGAAAAAUAGAUUAAUUCGGGCGCUCAUAGAAGAUGAGCUUGAUAGGAGAAGGAUGUAAGU
rnacentral:rRNA from 1 species